rnacentral:rRNA from 1 species
UGAAUACGAGACGCUAAGGCGUUGAAGUAGUGUAUGUCAUACUUCCAAGAAAAGCUUGCACUGUCAUAGAUAAAAAACGCCUGUACCAUAACCGACACAGGUGGGUAGGUAGAGUAUACUAAGGGGCGCGAGAUAACUCUCUCUAAGGAACUCGGCAAAAUAACUCCGUAACUUCGGGAGAAGGAGUGCCUUAUUUAUAAGGCUGCAAUAACAAGAUCCAAGCAACUGUUUAUCAAAAACACAGGUCUCCGCUAAGUCGUAAGACGAUGUAUGGGGGCUGACGCCUGCCCAGUGCCAGAAGGUUAAAGAAGUUGGUUAGCAAUAGCGAAGCUGAUAACUGAAGCCCUGGUGAACGGCGGCCGUAACAAUAACGGUCCUAAGGUAGCGAAAUUCCUUGUCGGGUAAGUUCCGACCCGCACGAAAGGCGUAAUGAUUUGGAUACUGUCUCGGAGAGGGGCUCGGUGAAAUAGACUUGUCUGUGAAGAUGCGGACUACCUGCACCAGGACAGAAAGACCCUAUGAAGCUUUACUGUAACUUGAAAUUGAAAUUGGACUUUAUUCGCGCAGUAUAGGUGGGAGGCGUUGAUUGUAAUCUUGCGGGAUUAUUGGAGCCAUCAGUGAGAUACCACCCUUGUAAUGUUAGAUUUCUAACUUUGAAUCAUUAUCUGGUCAAAGAACAGUUUCAGGCGGGCAGUUUGACUGGGCGGUCGCCUCCUAAACGGUAACGGAGGCGUACAAAGGUUUCCUCUGAACGGUUAGAAAUCGUAUCUAGAGUGUAAAGGCAUAAGGAAGCUUGACUGUGAGACCUACAAGUCGAGCAGGGACGAAAGUCGGUCUUAGUGAUCUGACGGUACUGAGUGGAAAGGCCGUCACUCAACGGAUAAAAGUUACUCUAGGAUAACAGGCUGAUCUCCCCCAAGAGUUCUCAUCGACGGGGAGGUUUGGCACCUCGAUGUCGGCUCAUCGCAUCCUGGGGCGGUAGUACGUCCCAAGGGUUGGGCUGUUCGCCCAUGAAAGCGGUACGCGAGCUGGGUUCAGAACGUCGUGAGACAGUUCGGUCCAUAUCCGGUGUAGGCGUUAGAAUAUUGAGAGGAGCCUUCUUUAGUACGAGAGGACCGAGAAGGACAUACCUCUGGUGUACCAGUUAUCGUGCCAACGGUAAACGCUGGGUAGCUAUGUAUGGAGUGGAUAACCGCUGAAAGCAUCUAAGUGGGAAGCCCACCUCAAGAUAAGUA